rnacentral:sRNA from 1 species
GCUGGAUGUGGUGGUGCAUGCCUGUAAUCCCAGCAACUCAGGAAGCUAAGGCAGGAGGAUUGCAAGUUUGAGAUCAGUCUGGGCAACUUAGGGAGACCCUGUCUCAA